UACGGAGGGAGCUAGCGUUGUUCGGAAUUACUGGGCGUAAAGCGCGCGUAGGCGGCCUUGCAAGUUAGAGGUGAAAGCCCCGGAGCUCAACUCCGGAACUGCCUUUAAAACUGCAUAGCUUGAAUCCGGGAGAGGUGAGUGGAAUUCCGAGUGUAGAGGUGAAAUUCGUAGAUAUUCGGAAGAAACACCAGUGGCGAAGGCGGCUCACUGGACCGUAGUUAGUGACGCUGAGGUGCGAAAGC
rnacentral:rRNA from 1 species